UUCAUCUUUUGCUGGAGUCCCACUGCUGGCCCUGGGGGCUUUGGAGCCCUUUUCUUCCUUUGAUUCAUUCCUUCCUUUCCUUCCAUUCCUUCGUUGCUUUGCUUCCUUCCUUUCCUUCCUUUCCUUCCUUUCCUUCCUUUCCUUCCUUCCUUUUCUUCCUUUCCUUCCUUCCUUUCCUUCAAUUCCUUCCUCCCUUCCAUUCACUCCUUUUUUUCCUCCCAUUUAUUCCUUUCUUUCCUCCAUUCCCCCCCUUUCCCUCCUUCCAUUCAUUCCUUCUUUCCGUUCCUUUCAUUCACUCCCUUUCCCCCUUUCCUCCCUUCCAUUCAUUCCCUUCCUGCCCCAUUUCCAUCCCCUUUCAGUUGACUUUCAGUUCGUUUUCCCAUUCCUUCCCCCCUCUUCCUUCCUUCAUUUCCAUUCAUUUCAGUCCUUCGUUUCUCCUUCAUCCCUUCCUCCCUUCCUUUCUCCCCUUCCCUUCCUUCCUUUCUUCUGCCUUCAUUUUCCCUCAUUCCAUUCAUUCCUUCCUUCCUUCCUUUCAUUCAUUUCCUCAUUCAUUCAUUCAUUCAAUUCCCUCAGUUCAUUCAUUCCUUCCAUUCAUUCAUUCCUUCCUUCCAUUCAUUCCUUCCAUUCAUUCAUUCCUUCCUUCAUUCCUUCAUUCCUUGCUCCCAUCCCAUUCAUUCACCCCAUUUUAUUCCUCCAUCCCCGCUUCGUUCCUUUGAGCUCCUUUCCCCUUUUUAAUUCUUUUAUCCCUAUGGCUCCCCUUUAAUUUGCUUUCGUUAAUCCCAGCCGUUCCCGUUUCUUCCAUCAACUCCACUCGUUUCAUUUUUAUUUCCUUUCCUCUCUAUUUUAAUCCAAUUCUCCCACUGCGUUCCGUUCAUCCCUUUCCUUCCCCCCAUUAUUUUCCCCCCAUAUUUUAUUUUAUUUCCUCCCUUUUCCGCUUUAUUUUAUUUCCGGAGGGGGGUUGAAGGGGGGGGGUUUCCCCUCCGCCCCCCUCCCCCAAUUCCACCCCCCACAAACGGGG
rnacentral:lncRNA from 1 species